AUGGAGGCAGUCAGCGCCCCCCACUCCCACCGCCUCACUCCAUCCCUGAGCAGAGGUGGGAGGGGGGAGCACAGGUACCCCAAGUUCAACCCCGGUAGCCAGGCCAGCCCUGUCCCUCGGGUUAAGUCUACUCUUCCAGAAGCCAGGGAGCCGCCGGCCACUGAAGGGGAGCCCGUGCGCCCUUCACCCGCGGGGGCCCCCUUUGGCCCACCCGCCUGGGACCCAACAGGAGCCCCCGCGAGUCCGAGAACCGGACAGCCCAGGCCUCGCCCCUCCGCGUGGGGAGCUCACUUCCCGGGGCGGAUCCGGGAGCGCCCGGCCCCCUGCGCCUUCGCACCCAAGGGCACCACGUGCUUCGCGCAUCCUCUGGCUGCCAGGCGGGACCGCGGGGCUCGGCAGGUGCCAGCACCUGGGGCUGCGGACCUGCCGGCGCCCCCCGCAGGUGACUCUCCGGGGCGUGGGGGCAUCUCUGCGGGAGCUCCCGUUGCCAUGGUUACCGCCUGGGAGGUGCGCAGCCGCCGCGCGGGGAGCUGGGGCGCGGGCACCGCGGACACCCCACCCCGUACGCGCAUCACUUCCCAUCCCAGCCACAGCCACACGCGUACACCCCUAAACCCACUCGGGGCGGACACCCGGAGAUGCGCUGUCGGAUCGCCCCCCAGCUCGAGUCCGCGCACGCGCAGCAGGCUGUGGCUCCCUCCCCUUGGUGACCCUCUCCGCAGACCCACCUCGUGGGGUCGCUUCAGAGAAGGGGUGGCCUCCUGGGCACGCACCCCUCGACCGGAAGGUCACCCCGCUGCCCCCGGGCACCCCCCGCCGUCAACCCCACCGGGAGCGCCCAGACACCUGCAUCCGCAGGGGACCCCGCGCAGGCGAACAGCUGGAAGAUGGCCACACUCUGCCAAACUGCAAUAUCCAGAAAAAGAGUCCACCCUGCACUUGGUGCUUCACCAGGAAGGUAGCAUCAUAGAGCCUUCCUCCUCCAGCUGCGCAGAAAUACAACUGCAACCAAUCUGCAGCAAGUGUUAUAUUUGCCGGUACCCCAAGUCUGUCAACUGCCACAAGAGGAAGUGCAGCCACACCAACAACCCACCCCCCAAAAGAAGGUCAAAUAAGGCCCUUCCACUGGCUCUUCCUUUGCCCUCAGGGUGGUCUCUUGCCCCAGCCCCAAGGCCCUGGGGGGGGCGGGGGGCUCAAUAAAGUUUCCCUUUCAUUGACUAAAGCAGUAAAAAAAAAAAAAAAAAAAGGCUUCGCUGAGCUCCUGCUGCAGGAUGUCCUCAGCCAAAUCCUGGUGAAGUGACUCCUGCUGGCUCACUUUGCAAAAUGACCUUUUUUAAUCAUCAGAUUCAAGCAAUCAUCAGAUUGCUUGUUUUUUAAACAGAGAAAACACCUUAAUGGAUACCUCCCAGCCUAAUAAAAUAUGCAGGUUGAAUGUCUUCCCCA
rnacentral:lncRNA from 1 species